GAUGAAGAACGUAGUGAAAUGCGAUAAGUAGUGUGAAUUGCAGAAUUCAGUGAAUCAUCGAAUCUUUGAACGCACAUUGCGCCCCUCGGUACUCCGUGGGGCAUGCCUGUUCGAGCGUCAUUUAACCCCUCAAGCCUAGCUUGGUAUUGGGUGCUUGUCCCGCCUCUCGCGCGGCGACUCACCUCAAAGUCAUUGGCAGCCCGCAUCUCGCCGGCCGUGAGCGCAGCACAGACGCGCUCUUGGCAACGACGGAUCGGCUCUCCAAAAGCUUAUUUCAACCACUGACCUCGGAUCAGGUAGGGAUACCCGCUGAACUUAAGCAUAUCAAUAAGCGGAGGA
rnacentral:misc_RNA from 1 species